rnacentral:rRNA from 1 species
UACGGAGGGUGCAAACGUUGCUCGGAAUUAUUGGGCGUAAAGCGCACGUAGGCGGUUCGUUAUGUCGGAUGUGAAAGCCCUCGGCUUAACCGAGGAAGUGCAUCCGAAACUGGCGAGCUUGAGUACGGAAGGGGGUCUCGGAAUUCCCGGUGUAGAGGUGAAAUUCGUAGAUAUCGGGAGGAACACCAGUGGCGAAGGCGGAGACCUGGGCCGAUACUGACGCUGAGGUGCGAAAGCGUGGGGAGCAAACAGG